rnacentral:rRNA from 1 species
CAUAGCGUAUGGAAGCGAAUGUUCUGAACUGAAACAUCUAAGUAGGAACAAGAAAAGAAAGAAAACUCGAUUCUCCAAGUAGCGGCGAGCGAACAGAGAACAGCCCAUUAAAGUAAGACUAAACUGAUAGACAAAUCUUAUGGAAAGAAGAACCAAAGAAAGUAACAGUCUUGUAGUCGAAAUCAGAAUAGAGACACUUUAAGAAGAGUACCACGGAGCACGUGAAAUUCUGUGGGAAGAUAGGGGGACCACCCCCUAAGGCUAAAUACUACCUGGUGACCGAUAGCGAAUAGUACCGUGAGGGAAAGGUGAAAAGAACCCCGGGAGGGGAGUGAAAUAGAACCUGAAACCUUGCGCCUACAAGCAGACAGAGGAAGAAGACUUCUAAUGUCGUACUUUUUGUAGAACGGGCCAGCGAGUUACGAUACGUAGCAAGAUUAAACAUUUAAGAUGUGAAGUCGUAGGGAAACCGAGUCUUAAUAGGGCAAAAGUUGCGUGUUGUAGACCCGAAACCGGGUGAUCUAUCCAUGGGCAGAGUGAAGGUAAAGUAAAAUUUACUGGAGGCUCGAACCGGGUAGCGUUUAAAAGCUAUCGGAUGACCUGUGGAUAGGGGUGAAAAGCCAAUCGAACUCGGAUAUAGCUGGUUCUCCUCGAAAUAGCUUUAGGGCUAGCCUUGUUUUAGAUUACAGGAGGUAGAGCACUGAAUAGUCUAGGGGAAGUAAUUCUACCGAAACUUAUCAAACUCCGAAUGCCUGAAAAUCGAUGAACAGGAGUCAGACCAUGAGGGAUAAGCUUCAUAGUCAAAAGGGAAACAGCCCAGACCACCAGUUAAGGUCCCAAAAUACAGAUUAAGUGGGAAAGGAUGUAAUACUACUCAGACAACCAGGAUGUUGGCUCAGAAGCAGCCAUACAUUUAAAGAGUGCGUAAUAGCUCACUGGUCAAGUGGUAAUGCGCCGAAGAUGAACGGGGCACUUAACAACAUACAACUGGCAUAAUAGCUUUUCUAUCGGUAGAGGAGCGUUGUAUAUGAGAAGAAGCAAAAAGCGUAAGCAAUUGUGGAUUAUAUACAAGUGAGAAUGCUGGCAUGAGUAGCGAAAAGGGAUGUGAGAAUCAUCCCCGUCGAAAGCCCAAGGAUUCCUGAGCAAGGCUCGUCCUCUCAGGGUAAGUCGGGACCUAAGGCGAGGCCGAAAGGCGUAGUCGAUGGACAACAGGUAGAAAUUCCUGUACUACAAGAUUGUGAUUGAGAGAAGUACUGACGCAGAAGGAAAAGUCGAGCGUGCGAAUGGUUGUGCACGUCCAAAUAACAAGCCAGAAUAUACAGGCAAAUCCGUAUAUUCGUCAACGUAAGUUAUGAUGGGGAGCAGAAAGAUGCGAAGCGACAGAUUCAAACUGCCAAGAAAAGGUGCUAUCGAAUAAUCUUGUACCCGUACCGCAAACCGACACAGGUAGGCAAGAAGAGAAUUCUAAGACGCGCGGAAGAACCUUUGUUAAGGAACUCGGCAAAAUAAUCCCGUAAGUUAGCGAGAAGGGAUGCCUAAGAAAUUAGGUCGCAGAGAAUAGGCCCAAGCGACUGUUUACCAAAAACACAAGUAUCUGCUAAAUCGAAAGAUGAAGUAUAGGUGCUGACACCUGCCCGGUGCUGGAAGGUCAAGGGGACUUGUUAGAGCAAUCGAAGCAACGAACUUAAGCCCCAGUAAACGGCGGCCGUAACUAUAACGGUCCUAAGGUAGCGAAAUUCCUUGUCGGGUAAGUUCCGACCCGCACGAAAGGUGUAACGA